rnacentral:rRNA from 1 species
GUUUUCCCGCAUUUUUCGGCGCUAAAGGGGUGCCCCGGGGGUUUUCUUAUGUAGUAUCAGAAAUGCCCCCGGUUCUACCCGGGGAGGGUCAUUGAAAACUGGGGAACCUGCGUUCAGAAGAGGAGAGUCGCAUUCCACGUGUAGCGGUGAAAUGCGUAGAGAUGUGGACGAACUCCAGUGUCGAAGGCGACUCUCUGGUCUGUAACCGUCGCUGAGGAGCGAAAGCGUGGGGAGCGACCAGGAUCAGAUACCUUGGUAGUCCACGCUGUACACGUUGACUGCUAAGGGUGAGGGGCUUUCCGCCCCUUAGCGCUCCAGUUACCCCAUUAACCAUUCCCCUUGGGGGGUUGGGCGGCAGGCUUUAACUUCAAAGUAAUGAACGGGGCCCGGACCAAUGGUGGAGCAUUAGGUUUAAUUAGAAGCAACCCCAAGAACCUUACCAGGUCUUGACAUCCUUUGACAAUCCUAGAGAUAGGACGUCCCCUUCGGGGGCAGAGUGACAGGUGGUGCAUGGUUGUCGUCAGCUCGUGUCGUGAGAUGUUGGGUUAAGUCCCGCAACGAGCGCAACCCUUGAUCUUAGUUGCCAGCAUUCAGUUGGGCACUCUAAGGUGACUGCCGGUGACAAACCGGAGGAAGGUGGGGAUGACGUCAAAUCAUCAUGCCCCUUAUGACCUGGGCUACACACGUGCUACAAUGGGCAGAACAAAGGGCAGCGAAACCGCGAGGUUAAGCCAAUCCCACAAAUCUGUUCUCAGUUCGGAUCGCAGUCUGCAACUCGACUGCGUGAAGCUGGAAUCGCUAGUAAUCGCGGAUCAGCAUGCCGCGGUGAAUACGUUCCCGGGCCUUGUACACACCGCCCGUCACACCACGAGAGUUUGUAACACCCGAAGUCGGUGAGGUAACCUUUUAGGAGCCAGCCGCCGAAGGUGGGAUCAGAU